rnacentral:rRNA from 1 species
UACGUAGGGUGCGAGCGUUGUCCGGAAUUACUGGGCGUAAAGCGCGCGUAGGCGGUUUCGCAAGUCGGUUGUGAAAAUCCGGGGCUCAACCCCGGACCUGCAUCCGAUACUGCGUGACUAGAGGUAGGUAGGGGAGAUCGGAAUUCCUGGUGUAGCGGUGAAAUGCGCAGAUAUCAGGAGGAACACCGGUGGCGAAGGCGGAUCUCUGGGCCUUACCUGACGCUGAGGCGCGAAAGCUAGGGGAGCGAACAGG